rnacentral:rRNA from 1 species
AGAGUUUGAUCCUGGCUCAGAAUCAACGCUGGCGGCGUGCCUAACACAUGCAAGUUGAGCGCUAGAGGGGGCAACCCCAAUAGAGCAGCGAACGGGUGAGUAACGCGUGGGUGAUCUUCCUUCGAGUGGGGAACAACAUCGGGAAACUGGUGCUAAUUCCGCAUAACACCUCAAGGCCAAGAGUCUUGAGAUCAAAGCCGGGGACCGUAAGGCCUGGCGCUUGAAGAUGAGCCCGCGUCCGAUUAGCUAGUUGGCGGGGUAAUGGCCCACCAAGGCUUCGAUCGGUAGCCGGCCUGAGAGGGCGGACGGCCACACUGGAACUGAGACACGGUCCAGACUCCUACGGGAGGCAGCAGUGGGGAAUUUUUCGCAAUGGGCGCAAGCCUGACGAAGCAACGCCGCGUGGAGGAUGAAGGUCUUCGGAUUGUAAACUCCUGUCGACCGGGACGAAUGCACUCGACCUAAUACGUCGGGCUGUUGACGGUACCGGUGGAGGAAGCCACGGCUAACUCUGUGCCAGCAGCCGCGGUAAUACAGAGGUGGCAAGCGUUGUUCGGAAUUACUGGGCGUAAAGGGCGCGUAGGCGGCCUUAUAAGUCUCGUGUGAAAGCCCUCGGCUUAACUGAGGAUCUGCACGGGAUACUGUAAGGCUCGAGUUCGGGAGAGGAAAGCGGAAUUCCGGGUGUAGCGGUGAAAUGCGUAGAUAUCCGGAGGGACACCAGGGGCGAAGGCGGCUUUCUGGACCGACACUGACGCUGAGGCGCGAAAGCUAGGGGAGCAAACGGGAUUAGAUACCCCGGUAGUCCUAGCUGUAAACGAUGAUCGCUGGGUGUGGGGGGUUUUUACUCCCCCCGUGCCGAAGCUAACGCAUUAAGCGAUCCGCCUGGGGAGUACGGUCGCAAGGCUGAAACUCAAAGGAAUUGACGG